AUAUUUAGAUUUUGUCAAAUUUGCCAUUGAACAAAGGAAGUUCACGCACGGAAACCAAGUCACAGUCAAAUGAAAGGCAGCUGGAAGGAGGAGCCUGUCGGAGGCGUCCUUGCCUCCCUGGCACUGCCCGAAAGCCCCGGGACCUCCAGACCCGGUGCCUUCGUGAGACCUAGGAGUAUCUCCUGAAAACAGACAGAAAAAAACCAUGGAUGGAUGUCUUGCAGCAACAUGUGCAC